UUUUUAAGGAGGCUCCAGAAUAACAAGUGGUGCCACAAGGAAGCCUCUGUAGGAAAAUUAGGCUUUACUAGGCAUCAGCUGGGCACCUCCCUGAAAAACAAAAACAAAACAAAAAAAACCCAGAAAGAGAAACAUUCAGAAGAAAAAGGAUUCUACUUAGGAUUAAGCCAUCGAAGGGAAGUGACCAACAAAGCCAAACAGUAUACAGUGUUUGAGUUACUUAAGGCUCCCAGCGACUUCCAAUUGACCGUUAAGCCAAUGCUGAAACAUUGACAUUCAGUUCAAAAAUCAUUCCCAAAUAGCUAUUUGUGUGCAAUU